rnacentral:rRNA from 1 species
GAUGAACGCUAGCGACAGGCCUAACACAUGCAAGUCGAGGGGCAGCAUACAUGUAGCAAUACAUUGGUGGCGACCGGCGCACGGGUGAGUAUCGCGUAUGCAACCUACCUACUACAGGGGAAUAGCCUUCCGAAAGGGAGAUUAAUACCGCAUAACACAGGGGCUCCGCAUGGAGAUAUUUGUUAAAGAUUUAUCGGUAGUAGAUGGGCAUGCGUUCCAUUAGCUAGUUGGCGGGGUAACGGCUCACCAAGGCAACGAUGGAUAGGGGAACUGAGAGGUUUGUCCCCACACUGGUACUGAGACACGGACCAGACUCCUACGGGAGGCAGCAGUGAGGAAUAUUGGUAAAUGGGCGAGAGCCUGAACCAGCCAAGUCGCGUGAAGGAUGACGGUUCUAUGGAUUGUAAACUUCUUUUGUACGAGGGUAAAGUGGGCUACGUGUAGCUUAUUGCAAGUAUCGUACGAAUAAGCAUCGGCUAACUCCGUGCCAGCAGCCGCCGUAA